GAUGAAGAACGUAGCGAAAUGCGAUAAGUAAUGUGAAUUGCAGAAUUCAGUGAAUCAUCGAAUCUUUGAACGCACAUUGCGCCCAUUAGUAUUCUAGUGGGCAUGCCUGUUCGAGCGUCAUUAAGUCCACUUAAGCCCUGCUUAGUGUUGGGAGACUGCUCCAGCGGUGCUACCCUGUAGCUACCCUGCAGCUCCUCAAGGACAGCGGCGGAGUUGUGGUAUCCUCUGAGCUUAGUAACUUGUUCUAGCUUUCGAGUACACCACUUCCCCUGCCGUAAAACCCUUAAUUUUUAAUGGUUGACCUCGGAUCAGGUAGGAAUACCCGCUGAACUUAAGCAUAUCAAUAAGCGGAGGA
rnacentral:misc_RNA from 1 species